AUCAUCUUCACUGUCACAACUGCAACAUCACAACACAGAGAGGUUUUUGUACGAGCAGUAAUAGGGAUUGUAUCACUGUGGUGGACUUUUGGUAGCGGCACCAGACUUGAUAUUGGAAGUAACAGUGCCCCCACCCUCACCGUCCUGCCCCCCUCUAGUGAGGAACUGUCCAGUACAACAACAGCCACGCUGACGUGUCUGGCCAACAAGGGCUUCCCCUCAGACUGGACCUUGAGCUGGAAAGUGGACGGGACCAGCAAGAACCAGAAGACCAGUCCCGGGGUCCUGGAGAAGGACGGCCUGUACAGCUGGAGCAGCACCCUGACUCUCACUGGCCAGGAGUGGACCAAGGCAGGAGAGGUGACCUGUGAAGCCCAGCAGAAUUCCCAGACUCCAGUCACCAAGACCUUGAGGAGGGCUGACUGUUCUGGGUAGGACCCCUCAGUCACACACCCCUGUGGAGAGAGGCUGCUGGUUCCUCUGCUUUGACUCUGUUCUGAGAUCAGAUGUUCUCUGUCUUAUUGAUCACUGACAUGUAGACUAACAGAGGGCUUUGCUUGAGUUCAUGUAUCAAUCCUCUCUGUAGACUGAGGUUGUAUCAGUGUUAGAUUUGAUGUGUUCUGUUUUAUUACUAUUAGAUACUGUAGGAAUGAUUGCUUUGAUGCCUUGAUUAAUAAAUGAAAAUAAAGACUUCUCUUUGGAACAA